rnacentral:rRNA from 1 species
UGGCGGCGUGCUUAACACAUGCAAGUCGAACGGUAAGGCUCCAGCUUGCUGGGGUACACGAGUGGCGAACGGGUGAGUAACACGUGGGUGACCUGCCCUGCACUUCGGGAUAAGCCUGGGAAACUGGGUCUAAUACCGGAUAGGACCGCACCGUGAGGGUGUGGUGGAAAGUUUUUUCGGUGUGGGAUGGGCCCGCGGCCUAUCAGCUUGUUGGUGGGGUAAUGGCCUACCAAGGCGGCGACGGGUAGCCGGCCUGAGAGGGUGGACGGCCACAUUGGGACUGAGACACGGCCCAGACUCCUACGGGAGGCAGCAGUGGGGAAUAUUGCACAAUGGGCGGAAGCCUGAUGCAGCGACGCCGCGUGGGGGAUGACGGCCUUCGGGUUGUAAACUCCUUUCACCAUCGACGAAGGGUUUCUGACGGUAGAUGGAGAAGAAGCACCGGCUAACUACGUGCCAGCAGCCGCGGUAAUACGUAGGGUGCGAGCGUUGUCCGGAAUUACUGGGCGUAAAGAGCUCGUAGGUGGUUUGUCGCGUCGUCUGUGAAAUUCCGGGGCUUAACUCCGGGCGUGCAGGCGAUACGGGCAUAACUUGAGUACUGUAGGGGAGACUGGAAUUCCUGGUGUAGCGGUGAAAUGCGCAGAUAUCAGGAGGAACACCGGUGGCGAAGGCGGGUCUCUGGGCAGUAACUGACGCUGAGGAGCGAARGCAUGGGGAGCGAACAGGAUUAGAUACCCU